UGAGUCUACCUCAAUGCUAGUUGAAGGAAAUUCCAUCCCAGCUAAGGCAUAUAUUAAAUAGACUCAGAGGAAUAAGUGUUAAUUAUCCUAGUGCUUGAAGAUUAAGCCACUUCCCGCUCUCCUGGAAUUUAAGACUACAUUA
ensembl:snoRNA snoRNA:Psi28S-1135d snoRNA:Psi28S-1135d